rnacentral:rRNA from 1 species
CGGUGGAACAUGUGGUUUAAUGCGAUAAUCCACGCAAAAUCUUACCAACGUUUUAGGCUUUAAUAGUAAUAUGGUUAAUACUAUAAUUAAAUGAUAAAGUUCGGAAUUGCAUGGCUGUCGUCAGUUCGUGCUGUGAAGUUUAGGAUUAAGUUUUUCUUAACGAAUGUAACCCUAUAAAUAAGUUUUUAAUUUUUAAUAAAUAAAUUUUUAAGUUAUUCUUAUUUAAUCUAUAAUCAAUUUUAAAGAAAUCUUUUUUUUUAUAAUUGAUUAUAGGGGUUUUAGGCUGAAGUCAAGUCCCUAUGGUCUUUAUACGUUGGGCUACACACGUGUUACAAGGAUAAAAACAAAGAGACGCGAUAGAGUAAUCUGAAGCAAAUCUCUAAAAAUUAUCUUAGUUCAGAUUGUUUUAUGAAAUUCUAAAACAUGAAGAUGAAAUCGUUAGUAAUUGUAAAUUAUAAUGUUACAGUGAAAUAAUUGUCAAAUUUUGCACACACCGCCCAUCACGCUCGAAAAGUCGAUAUUAGCGGAAGAUUUUAAAAUUUCUACAUAAUACUUAAUUAUUAUAUAAUUUUGUAAUAAAUAUUAUUUUUUAAUAGUGUAGUUAAUAAGU